rnacentral:siRNA from 1 species
UAACUUUGUCAAAGCCUUCAUC